CCUACGGGAGUCAGCAGUGGGGAAUAUUGGGCAAUGGGCGCAAUCCUGACCCAGCAACGCCGCGUGAAGGAAGAAGGCUUUCCGGUUCUUCACCUCUUUUAUCCGGGACGAAACAAGUGGCGGUACCUGCUGACUAAGCCACGGCUAACUACGUGCCAGCAGCCGCGGUAAUACAGAGGUGGCAAGCGUUAUCCGGCUUUACUGGGUGUAAGGGUCGUGUAGGCGGGAGUGCAAGUCAGAUGUGAAAAGUAUUGGCGCAACCCAUAGCGUGCAUUUGAAACUGGACUUCUUGAGUGCGGGAGAGGCAAGCGGAAUGCGGGGUGUAGCGGUGAAAUGCGUAGAUAUACGGAGGAACACCAGUGGCGAAGGCGGAUUGCUGGACAGUAACUGACGCUGAGGCGCGAAAGCGUGGGGAGCAAACAGGAUUAGAUACCCUAGUAGUC
rnacentral:rRNA from 1 species